ACGUGGUAACCCUCACAAUUUGAAGAAUGUUUGAGAGUAGAGCAGCUUAGCUGUAAUGACGUUUUAUUAGAUUGGCUGCGAGUAGCCCUGAGAGAGAUGGAAAGAAAGAAAAGAAAUAUGACGUAUGACACAACCUCUGAAGCUCCCCUUUUCAGUUAGUUAUUCAAAGGAUAUUGUUUAUUACUGUUGUGAUACUUAGGACUUUUAAUAAUGUCAUUAAUUACAUGUGUGUGACUCGUAAAAAGUAAAAGAAUCAGUUUCUAAACAGCAGCAAGUCUUCGGUAGUCCUUAUUUCUUCCUCAAAUCACGAGAUGGAUAAGUAUCUACUUAAUUGUCGUCAUAUGGGAUUCAAGAUGUCAAAUUUUACUCCGAAACAGCAAGGGUAUUUCCUUACUUACAGUGGCAAAGGAUAUCCCCCUCCAUAGAGAAAGACUUUAAUGAGAGGAAGAUGAAAGACACCAAUCUGAUCCCUCAUUAGUUUGGAUGGUCUUUUCUGAACUUUAAAUUCAUCCAGGAGGGAUAAAAUAAUCUAUGUUGCUGGAUGAAUUUCAGGAUCAUUAGUGCAUGAGUUUUCCUAAUUUACAUACUACAACCUCAACAUAUAUGAUUAUAUCUGCAGUAUCUUUAUAAAUGAUCAAACACGUUGCUGUUUUCGAGGAAGAGUUAUGAGCAUAAGCGUACGAAGAUAUAUCAAAUUCUAUUCAUAUAUAGCCUUAUGAAGUUAUAGGGAUUUCCCAGUGGUCCGACGGGAUGAUUUCCCUCGCCACUAAUGAAAUAAGCCUGUCAAUGGCCUAAUCCUAAGUCAUUUUACUCAACCCAUUAAUUCCAAACCUUACUCUCAUCCUUUGGGCAUGACUCCAAAAACUUUGCAAACGCAACGUUCAUAUGGCAACUCCUUUUCUCGUUUCCUUUACUGUUGAUCCCAUCAUUGACUCGGCAUAAGCCUCAUAUCAAUAUAUUUUAUUAGUCUUGAUUGAUAAUGUCAUAAUAAUAUAAAUUUGACAUUUCAACUUUUUCAGAUAAUUAAGAAUUAAAAGGAAAGAAUUAAGGAAAAACGAAAAAUCCAUUGCUGAAGGUUAUCAGCUUAUGAUUUAGUGUUUCUGAAAUCUUUAUUUAAAAUAAUAGAUACUGUGACUGGUCAAUUUAAUGGCUUGUUCGAACUUCAUAUAGUUAUUAAGAAACUUACGAUGACAUUGCUUCAACCAUAUUUCAAGAAAGUUAGAUGCCAAUUCAGAAUCCAACCACUAAGAAGUAUGGAUACCUAUUAUGAACGAUCGGAACAACGGAAUAGAGUCCAAUUAAACGAAGCUUUUUGUCAUUUUAAAAUUGUUAAUAUUAUAUUAAUUCAACUAUAAACCUACUAUAGUUUGUUCUAAAUAGUCUCUAAUUAUUUGAUUUUAAACCGCAUAACCUAACCAAAUAAGGAAAUUUGUGUUUAAUAUAGUAAUGAUUAUUUUUUGUACUUUUAUAAUACAAUUUUUAAAAAAUGAAAUAUAUUUUUUAAAUUU
rnacentral:lncRNA from 1 species